rnacentral:rRNA from 1 species
UGGGGAAUAUUGCACAAUGGGCGCAAGCCUGAUGCAGCCAUGCCGCGUGUAUGAAGAAGGCCUUCGGGUUGUAAAGUACUUUCAGCGGGGAGGCAGGUGUUGAGGUUAAUAACCUCAGCAAUUGACGUUACCCGCAGAAGAAGCACCGGCUAACUCCGUGCCAGCAGCCGCGGUAAUACGGAGGGUGCAAGCGUUAAUCGGAAUUACUGGGCGUAAAGCGCACGCAGGCGGUCUGUCAAGUCGGAUGUGAAAUCCCCGGGCUCAACCUGGGAACUGCAUUCGAAACUGGCAGGCUAGAGUCUUGUAGAGGGGGGUAGAAUUCCAGGUGUAGCGGUGAAAUGCGUAGAGAUCUGGAGGAAUACCGGUGGCGAAGGCGGCCCCCUGGACAAAGACUGACGCUCAGGUGCGAAAGCGUGGGGAGCAAACA